rnacentral:rRNA from 1 species
GACGAACGCUGGCGGCAUGCCUUACACAUGCAAGUCGAACGGCAGCACGGGUGCUUGCACCUGGUGGCGAGUGGCGAACGGGUGAGUAAUACAUCGGAACGUACCUUAUCGUGGGGGAUAACGCAGCGAAAGCUGUGCUAAUACCGCAUACGCCCUGAGGGGGAAAGCGGGGGAUCGCAAGACCUCGCGCGAUUAGAGCGGCCGAUGCCUGGUUAGCUUGUUGGUGGGGUAAAAGCCCACCAAGGCGACGAUCAGUAGCUGGUCUGAGAGGACGAUCAGCCACACUGGGACUGAGACACGGCCCAGACUCCUACGGGAGGCAGCAGUGGGGAAUUUUGGACAAUGGGGGCAACCCUGAUCCAGCAAUGCCGCGUGAAUGAAGAAGGCCUUCGGGUUGUAAAGCUCUUUUGUCAGGGAAGAAACACCGGCUCUAACACAGUCCGGGAAUGACGGUACCUGAAGAAUAAGCACCGGCUAACUACGUGCCAGCCGCCGCGGUAA